UAGGGAAUCUUCCGCAAUGGGCGAAAGCCUGACGGAGCAACGCCGCGUGAGUGAUGAAGGUCUUCGGAUCGUAAAACUCUGUUAUUAGGGAAGAACAAAUGUGUAAGUAACUAUGCACGUCUUGACGGUACCUAAUCAGAAAGCCACGGCUAACUACGUGCCAGCAGCCGCGGUAAUACGUAGGUGGCAAUCGUUAUCCGGAAUUAUUGGGCGUAAAGCGCGCGUAGGCGGUUUUUUAAGUCUGAUGUGAAAGCCCACGGCUCAACCGUGGAGGGUCAUUGGAAACUGGAAAACUUGAGUGCAGGAGAGGAAAGUGGAAUUCCAUGUGUAGCGGUGAAAUGCGCAGAGAUAUGAAGGAACACCAGAGGCGAAGGCGACUUUCUAGUCUGUAACUGACGCUGAUGUGCGAAAGCGUGGGGAUCAAACAGG
rnacentral:rRNA from 1 species